GACGAACGCUGGCGGCGUGCCUAAUACAUGCAAGUAGAACGCACAGUUUAUACCGUAGCUUGCUACACCAUAGACUGUGAGUUGCGAACGGGUGAGUAACGCGUAGGUAACCUGCCUGGUAGCGGGGGAUAACUAUUGGAAACGAUAGCUAAUACCGCAUAAUAUUAAUUAUUGCAUGAUAAUUAAUUGAAAGGUGCAAUUGCACCACUACCAGAUGGACCUGCGUUGUAUUAGCUAGUAGGUGAGGUAACGGCUCACCUAGGCGACGAUACAUAGCCGACCUGAGAGGGUGAUCGGCCACACUGGGACUGAGACACGGCCCAGACUCCUACGGGAGGCAGCAGUAGGGAAUCUUCGGCAAUGGACGAAAGUCUGACCGAGCAACGCCGCGUGAGUGAAGAAGGUUUUCGGAUCGUAAAGCUCCGUUGUAAGAGAAGAACGGGUGUGAGAGUGGAAAGUUCACACUGUGACGGUAUCUGACCAGAAAGGGACGGCUAACUACGUG
rnacentral:rRNA from 1 species